rnacentral:rRNA from 1 species
UUUAAUGAGAGUUUGAUCCUGGCUCAGGACGAACGCUGGCGGCGUGCCUAAUACAUGCAAGUAGAACGCUGAGGUUUGGUGUUUACACUAGACUGAUGAGUUGCGAACGGGUGAGUAACGCGUAGGUAACCUGCCUCAUAGCGGGGGAUAACUAUUGGAAACGAUAGCUAAUACCGCAUAAGAGUAAUUAACACAUGUUAGUUAUUUAAAAGG